AACUUUAAUUCCUCUGGUAAGUCUAAUUUUUACCUUCAUUCAAUUAGCUAAUCAUCUAGUGCAAUAAUUAUCAUACAAAGAGCAAAAUAUUCAAAUUGAAGAUACAAAGAAAGAAUCUAGUGAAAAAGUUGAUUCUGAGAUAACCAGACUCGAAGAUCAAGUUAUUGAAUUUUGACUUUCAAAUUCCACUAGGGUAAGUGGGGCCCAUGAUGAAGUGGGUCUUUGAUUCCACUUCAUGAAAGUAUGGCAGCUCUCUCUUCUUCUUCUUCUUCUUCUUCCUCCUCCUCUCUGGCCUUUGGUUGCUAGGGUUUCACUUUUUUUCUCAUUUCCCUAGUUGGUUAAUCAGAAAGAAAGAAUUGAUUCCUGAUUUGCAUCUAAGUGUACCUUUUUCCAAAGUAUCUUAGACUGCUGUGCUACUUUAGAAAGGGCACAGCUUUCUGCUGGAAAAGGACUGUUUGAUCAGAAAGAAAAGGUUACACCAUGUGAAUUGUACUAAAAAAAUAUUUAUAUCUGAGUUGUGAGAUGAUUAAUGCAUGUCCUAAUAAUAAUUGAUUCUCACUUUCUAUGGGUAUUGGAUAAUUUGAACUUUUGAUUUACUGUUGGUCGUAUAGGAAUAGUAACCAUGAAAGUAAGUUCUUAAACAAUAAGACAAAAUGCUCCAUUAGUUCAAAUAGUCUUCGCAUUGAUAAAUGGACCCCAAUGCCAUUACCAUCCAAGGAAGCAUAUAGUUUCUAAAGAAGCAAAUACUAAAUCUGCCUUUUCUUUGGAUCGUUCUUUUUUGUGAAACUUCAACUUCAUCUUUUCUUGAUGUUGGGCUGCUAGUACUGCAUCACUAUUACCUGAGAAACAUUUAAAAUCUAUUGCUAACAAGAGAAAAAAAAGUACAUAAUGUGCAAAAUGUUCCCUUUCCUCAAUUUACCAGUUCCAUUGUCCAAUUAGUAAUUUAUGUGCAAAUGCUCUCUUUUCUCAAAAUUUGCUAGUUCCAUCCUACAAUUUAUAAUUUAUGUUUGUUUGUAUUUCAUCCGGUUUGUAAUACUCUGUCAAGAGUUAUCAAUAUGUAUUAUUUUAAAAAGUUAUGACAUAAAAAUUUAGAUAGUCCACAACCAUUAUAUAGAAAUUUUGAUUUUAUUCUCAAUGGCGAAUUGCUCUUAACAAUUAAGUAAGAGCAAGAGAGACAAGUUAUUAAAUUCAUUUAUUAAUUUAAAGAGGGCAGGCAGCAGAUCCAUAGCCACAAGCUCGAAACUCAAUUAUUCGCAGCAACAAUAUUGAAAAAGUGGAGGAUAACAUUUGCCUCCUGCAUAACCGAUACGUUUGCAAAACGCACCACAAUCGGGGAAGUUUUCACAUUUUCCUCUGCACACAGGUGCAGCCUCUCCUGCAAAAUAAAGGAAGGUCACCAAUUCAAUAUUAGCCUCCUACAAAAUUAUAAUAUAUAUGUAUAUAAAGAGAGCUAAGGCUUCCCUUUUAAUUUACCUAGCAAGAAGAAGAGAUUGAGAACUAUGAUUGUGAUGAUCAAUAUCCUAGUUAUCAAAGAGAGAUACAUUUUCUUCUUCUUCUUCUGUAAGUUUUUUUUAUCGAUGAGGAAGGAUAUUUUGAUAGUAAAGUGAUUUCAUAG
rnacentral:lncRNA from 1 species